rnacentral:rRNA from 1 species
GACGAACGCUGGCGGCGUGCCUAAUACAUGCAAGUCGAGCGGACGAAUCGAAAGCUUGCUUUUGAUUCGUUAGCGGCGGACGGGUGAGUAACACGUGGGCAACCUGCCCUGUAGACGGGGAUAACACCGAGAAAUCGGUGCUAAUACCGGAUAACACGAAAUGUCGCAUGACGUUUCGUUGAAAGACGGCGCAAGCUGUCGCUACAGGAUGGGCCCGCGGCGCAUUAGCUAGUUGGUGAGGUAACGGCUCACCAAGGCGACGAUGCGUAGCCGACCUGAGAGGGUGAUCGGCCACACUGGGACUGAGACACGGCCCAGACUCCUACGGGAGGCAGCAGUAGGGAAUCUUCCGCAAUGGACGAAAGUCUGACGGAGCAACGCCGCGUGAGCGAAGAAGGCCUUCGGGUCGUAAAGCUCUGUUGUUAGGGAAGAACAAGUAACGCAGUAACUGGCGUUACCGUGGCGGUACCUAACGAGAAAGCCACGGCUAACUACGUG